GCAUCAUGAUAUGCACAUGUUUCUCCUACUAUGGUGUUGGGCCUAUAUAUCGCAUACCAGGUAUCAUGGAUCACUCUGCAUAUGUCAAAAUAUCUGAACAGACCUCAUGUGGCAACAUGACCUCU